rnacentral:rRNA from 1 species
UACGUAGGUGGCAAGCGUUGUUCGGAUUUACUGGGCGUAAAGGGCGCGUAGGCGGCAAUUCAAGUCACUUGUGAAAUCUCCGGGCUUAACUCGGAACGGUCAAGUGAUACUGCUUUGCUAGAGUGCGGAAGGGGCAAUCGGAAUUCUCGGUGUAGCGGUGAAAUGCGUAGAUAUCGAGAGGAACACCUGAGGUGAAGACGGGUUGCUGGGCCGACACUGACGCUGACAGCGCGAAAGCCAGGGGAGCAAACGGG